ACAAUGCAAUGUUAUGCAGUGGACUAUGUUAUGUUAAUGACCUAAUGAUGAAAAUGUAUGUACAAAUGAUAGGUGCAAAUUUGAGGUGCUACAGGUAAUCAUUGUUGGAUUGUUUUUAACUUAUUUUUUUGAAGAUGGUUUGGUUUGGUCAAUCAAUUGGUGCAUUGCUUGAAUCAUGGUUUUGUUUGGACACUUUUUGCACAUAAU
rnacentral:lncRNA from 1 species